ensembl:lncRNA
GGGAGAGCUGAGAGGGAGAGAGAAGGAACAGGAUCCUUGGUGAGGAAAUGCAUGAGUGAGAGAGAAAGAAACGGGAGCGGGUGUGUGCGAGAGGGGUGAGGAGAGAUGUGCUGUGACUGACAGGAGGUAGGCAGAAAGGGGUGGGGGGCGAUGGGCCCCCCACAUGCCACCUUCGGCCACAGCGGCUUCUGGAAAGCCCUGCCGUUUGGAGUGAGUGAGGGACGUGUGCGGAGAGGGGACCGGUGAUGGCCCAAGGGGUCCACCUUGUGUGCCUGCUCCAACUGACCAGUCAUGGCUCCUUGAAGCCCUGUGUGGAGAAGAAUUCUGACUCCCCAUCCUGGCCUGGAGGUGAUGGGCACACUCACGAUUGGUGAUGGCAGUCAUGGUGUGGACCAGAAAGCGGCAGUAGAAUGUGCUUACAUUUCCAUAGUAGACACUCACUGAAGUAUGGCUAUCAGUUUUCCUAUUUCUCUGCUCCUUGGGAGAAGACGUAGGAUUCUGCUGGCCUCGGAAAGGCCAGGAUCCUGCUGGACCAGUGGCUGUUUCCACCAGCACUGCCCAGGUCCCAAAGUCACUGAGCCUGCUGUCCUGGCUCAGCACAGACUUCUUUGGCAGCAAGGAUGCUCCAGCCAGCCCUAUCUUUUAAUCAGCAGACUGCGUCAGCCCUGUCGGGAUUGUUUAAGGUCUUCUUCCUCCCGGGACUUUCUUGCUCUUUUCAUCCUCAAAUGCCAACCUUACCCUCCCUGCCAACAGAUCACACACACACACACACACACAUACACCCUGCCAUGUUCACCACCACGUCCUCAUAGUAAGUUACAGGGAAUUAUUGAUAUUAACUCAAGUUUUUCCACUCCAUAUCACCCCACUAUCCACAUCUCCCAUUGUCGCCUGCCCCAACUCAGGGGGCCUGACGUUAUUCCAGCAACACAUAUCAGAGUUGGAUGAAGGUAGAAGAAGUAGAAAUCACAGCCACAGGCAUCCUAUGGGGCGAGCUGAAGAAGCCUCAGUGAUCACCACGUGGCCCCUGGAGUAACUAGAGGAAGAAGGGAAUAAGAAAUCCUUUGCACACAGAAUGUUCUUUCUAGUUUCACCAGCACGUGGAAGGAACCUUUGCUUAUUCACUUAUUCAAGACAUAUUUACGGAGCACCUCUAUGGGCUGGGUACAGACAGCUGUCUGCCCUGAAAGGGAGACAGCCAAGUAGAAGCCGGUGGGUGCUGAGCAGCUCAGCAGGAGUGCUGAGAUGGAGAUGAGCACGGUGGGGUGAGGGCGGGGGGACGGGCUCUGAUUGGAGCCACACCGUGGGACAGAGACGACUUUCCUGAGAAGGUGGCUCUCCUGAGCCCAGUCUGGAGGGAAAAGGAAGCUGCUCCAGGUGGCACUGGGGGCGGCAUGUGCUAGGAUCUGAAUGGGUGUGAGUUUGAGGAGCAGCUGGCAGGUCACUGGGGCUGCGGCUUAGAGCCAGAAGGGAAGGUGUUCUGGGAGGAGCCGAUGGCAGGGUGGGGUGGCGGGGUAGGGGGGUCCUCCAGGGCCUCUCUGAGGAGUCCAGAUUAUCCCA